rnacentral:misc_RNA from 1 species
UUUCCGUAGGUGAACCUGCGGAAGGAUCAUUACAGUAGUCGCCCGGGUUGCCGCAAGGCCUCCCGGGUAACCUACCACCCUUUGUUUAUUACACUUUGUUGCUUUGGCAGGCCUGCCCUCGGGCUGCUGGCUCCGGCCGGCGAGCGCUUGCCAGAGGACCUAAACUCUGUUUGUCUAUACCGUCUGAGUACUAUAUAAUAGUUAAAACUUUCAACAACGGAUCUCUUGGUUCUG